UCGCGUGUCAGACGCUUCGGUACGCGUCGCGCGCGCUCCGUUGGCGGCGACCAUUUGGGCGAAAUUAUUUAAUAACAAUUUAUAAAUAAUUCGACAAAAAACUAAACAUAUAUCCGACUGGACUUUGCCUUAAAAGUAUGCUAUAUAUAUAUACAGACAGAAUCCCUUGUGAUUUGUAGUCCAGUCUUAAAUAGUGUGUAAUUAAAAAAAAAAUAAUGUCAUUAAGGUGACACUCAAAAUACUUUUAGUGAAAAUAAUAAUUAAUUGAACUAAACAAAAAAAUAAGCAAGAAAAGAUUAAGAAUAAACAAUGGCGUCCAAUAGUGUCUAGAAAAAAAUUCAAAAUAAAAUAAAAAGAGAAAAACAAACUAAAAGAACCAAA